AUGAAUAUCUUAAUCAUAUAUAAUUGGAAUAGUAAUAGUGAAUGAUUAUAGGCCUCUUGUUUGUAAAAUCUAUAUGGUUGCAUGCUACAGACACAAGGUGAUAGUUUCUUACAAUAGAGCAUACAUCCAUAAGUCCAACAAGAAUGUCCUGCCCUGUACAUUAGGGAAAUUCUAAUUUACAAAAAUUCAAUGAAUCCUUACUUUUGGAUAAACCUGGUUGAUGCUGGCUGGAAGUCUGUUGGUAUGGGCCGCCACAAUGGACUUGAUGGCGUCACACCCCUCAGCGCGAGGAUGCAAUCGAGACCGGAGCUAGGGCAGCACGGCUAAGACAUGAUGUCCGAGGUAGGCGUUGCGACCAGAGGGCAACAUGUGGCAUGGCAGUAUUCGUCCUUUGCCAUGUACCCCAAGAAUUAUUCGAUGAACUUGGCGAGAUUGCCUCCUUGGUCUUCGAGAUCUCCUCGUAUGGAGGGAUCUAAAGGCAUCACCGUUGUAGCAGACUCCGGUGCCAUCAUCCAUCCAUGGAAAGGAGGGGUACAGAAGAGCUCACCACACCUGGAUCUGGCUGCAAUUGACAUGUAAUCGACGGCGGACUGAAAUGCGAGACUGUACCUUGAACCGAUUUGGUUUGUUGGAUCAUUGUACCUGAGGCUGAAAGCAAAUUUCCUUGGCAGUGGCAGGAACAACUUGUCAAGACUUCAUAACUGGUAAGUACGAGACAUUCUGAAGAUAGCGUGUACCUGGCUACAUGCAAUGGAUCGCGGCGGCCGGGGGCACUGAUCGGAUUGGCUCGGCUCGGCCGAGCGGCGCUG